CCAAAGUGCAGGGGUUGCAUAUCUACCAAUAAGCUUAUCAUUUCAAGAGGAAGUAUUUACCCAGGGAUAAGGAGAGUAAAAUUAUCACUUUCAAGCAUCUCUCAUUCAAAAACUUUGGAAUAAUUCUGUUUGGCUGUGAGACACUCUGACAUGUUUGAAGAAAAAAACAAAGCAACAACAACAAAACACUACUGAUAUAGACCAAUACAUGAUUCUGCAUUAGGCUGACCUUCAAAAUGGAAGGCACAGAACCAAGAGAAAGCAGCGAUCUUCAUUUUAUGUAUUUAACUGUAUCUGCAAAGCAAUAUUAAGGACAGUGCAAGGCACAUGAAGGCAGGCUUUGUUUUUUCUCAUGGACUGAACAUCAUUGGAGACCAGAAGAAAACCAGGAUGUCCCCGGACCUAAGACACAGGCUGUAUUCAUGGAAGUAUACACACAGGAAGCCAAUAGUAUUCAAGAGAUUGCUUCAGAAAAGAGCAUAGAAGGCAAACCAAAAAGGAAAGAAAAAUAAAUAAAUAACCAACUCAGCA
rnacentral:lncRNA from 1 species